UUUAUUAUGGCUUCGAGAACUCAUUUAGUAGUUUAGCUCCACAUGUUGUAGCGGUAAGUGGAAUACCUUUUUCGAUUCAGCAUCUCCCCCUUCCUCCCCUUGAUGCUUGCGUGUAUUGUGUGUGCUUUGAUGGAUAGUUUAGACUAAUGAGAACUCUUACCAAAUACUAAUUCUGUUUUGGGAACUUUUAAGAAAGAGUUAAUGUACGAGUCCUUGAUAAAGGCAAUGCUAUCAAGCAUUCUUACCUGCUAUACAUCCUUAUCCUCCAAGAGUAGGGCAGAUUAUAAGGAUCAACUUCGUCGCAACUUGCAAUGAAUCAUCACAAGACUCCGCUCUAUUUCAAAACCACUGCCACAAUUAUACCUCAUGCCCACAAAAGAUUUCGUUAGCACUCUUAAUGCACUUGAAAAGAGACAUUCAUCUUCAAUUCUUUGACUAACUAAAUAAACAAUUCUACAUGUUUCAUUUUGCAUCUACUCAAGACUAUCAUGUAAAAAAAGGACUACCAUCACAAGAGGAUACUUUUGAAAAAAUUAGGCUCGAUAAAUUUAGGUUCAUUCUCUAAUGACAACUCGUCAACAAUUGCAACUCUAUGAGUAAGAAAAUAUAUAUGAUCAAUAGAAUUACAAGCACUUUAAGAUACAGUUUGGCUAUUUGCAUUCUGAUAGUCACGCACCAUAAUAUAUGCAAAUGUGCAAUCAACUCUAUGUGCAUCCCCACUCCUAUUAGGCUCAAAUACAACAGCAUCACUACUUUGUGACAUUUCAAGCUCAUAAGAAAUAGAAACAUUGGAUGCAAACUAAAGACUCAUUAAGUUCAUAAGAAGGAUGAUUAACACCUAAACUCUCUACACAUUCAAUCUCACUAAACAAAAAUGAAGAGUUAGAUUUAUUUGUUUUACCUUAAAUUACUCAAAUUCAAUUUACCUCUGUUAGCCUCACUUAAGGCUGACUCCUUGGUGUUGCAACCUCUAGUUUCCUAUAACUACAAGUGACUUCAGGUGAAGAAUCUUUAUGAGAAGCUUCACAUUUAAUUCCUCCUAGGCAUAUCACCAACAAGUCUGUUGUUAUUCUUUCUCAUUUGUUUCCAUUUAGUGCAAGAAAAUGUAAUGCAGUCUUCUUUGCGACACUUAAAGCAUUUACGCACUUUCUAAUGAAAUCGAAGAGAAGAUAGCCAUGCUACCUUGAACCUGAAUUUCAAGUUUCCGCUGUGGUAUACAAUCAUUACCGUGAACAUGGCGGGCUGACAGCUUGAGGUAACUUCACCUUUCUCUUCCUUUGCAUGUUGCCUUUGCCUUAUGUCAAGUAGGACAAUCUCUAGUAUUACCACUUGCAUAGGUUUUUCAUUGAGAGUGAAGAAAGCCUUAGAAUUUGGAACACAGCAACCCCCC
rnacentral:lncRNA from 1 species